CAGGGGAUGAUACUUUUUCACUGGGUCAGCAGGACCCAGAGGUGGCAGAAGCAGGCUCUCCCUUGUGGCUGGAGCCCGUCAUCAGUCCAACCAAGCUGACGGCAGAGUUGCGUGCUGGGUUUACAGCUUGAAGACUAGCUGAAGUUGCUGUCAGGUUUUGGUUUGCUUUAGCACUCGAGGCAGGCCAGGUAGUGGCUAUAGAUUGUGGCUAGAGCCUCUGCUAGGUGGACAAGACACCACCAGGGAGAGGAAGGCAGGGGACGGCAGUAACAUCUCCACCUGCUGCAAAUUCAUCUUCUCCCCUCUUUCUUUGGAAGGGCUAUUUUUAACUGGAUCAUCCUGGAGACCCCAGAUGUCAAUGUGCAGCCUCACAAACUGUUGGGUCAGCACGGAUGAGGUGGCCCAAGCAGCAAGGACAUGGGGACAGGGGUUGGAAGAGAGCCAACCUCAUCACAGGAGGCACAGCACCAUGAGGACCACCAAGAGCUCCCGGGGCCCACGAGGCUUCCCUGUAGCAUUUGGGUGUGCUGAGCUGGUGUGUUAGCUGAUUUCUUCAAGACUCAAGCUUGCUUUCGGGAAGGAGCUUUGCUUUUGCUCUGGGCUCUGCCAAGGAGCAGCACCGUGGAAGAGCAGCUUCCAUCAGAGCCAGAGUGAUGAGAGCUGGAUGCUGCAGAAAAGGAGCAGGCCUCACGGAAAGCAGGCUCAAGGAUCUGCAAGACCACAGCUCUGUGCAGGAUCCUGCCUACCCGUGGGCUCUGUUUGGCAGGGCUUCAUGCUGGGAGCCAGCUAGAGCAACCUCCAGCACUGCGGGUUGGCAGCAUGCAGCCGGGCAGACGGCGCAGUCACCGAUUAAUAGCAGACAGCAAUAUUUAAACUAAUCAUUACAGGGAUCGGCAUAAAACAAAACUCUUAUUAAAAUUAACAGCACGGUCACUGAAACUGAUGCUGUUUCAUGCUAUUCAUUAGCUAACAGCUGAAUCUAGCCAACAGCCCUUGACUGGGGCUGGUGUGCUUUUAGUCCUGUGUCUCCUGGAGACAAGGCUGACAUGAUUUCAGAUGCUGUGUGGACACAUUGGCAUAACCAAAUGAGGUCGUGCUAAGAGGGAAGGACUCCAGCCUUGGGCCCACGAGGUGGGAAAUGGCUCUGAGCUGCUCACUGCCAUGACCAGACUGGUGCUGAGAGCAGCUGCAAGGCUCCACAUAAGGACACAGGGAAAAUUUACACCAAAAAAAAAAAAAAAGAACCUCUCCAGCACACUAAAUUAAUUGCUAAGGUGGACACAUGUUCCUAAUAGCUUUUGAACUAUUUGACAGAGUAUGAAAGGCUUUAAUCAGCCUCUAAAAUGUUCAUGAAAAGGGGUAGAUAGACAGAGCCCUUAUUAAUAUCCCCAGUGAUGGAAAGGCUGCUCUGUGAACUCACACUCCGGGAACUGUGAAUCCACAAAAGAAAAUCCUCAAAACAAAGCUGCUCUGAGUGACCUAAUUAGCACAGCACAAGAAGUGUUUGACCUAUAACGGAGGGGAUUCCUGCCUCAUACGAAGCUGUGAUGCAUCCUCCCCCUGCCCACUGCGAAUGCACAAUGAAACAUUUUCUUGAAAUGCUUUUAUACUUAACCUUGCAUUCACAAUGGUCUAGAAGUGCAUGCACAAUCAUUUACCAUGUCUCUUGGGGGGGGGGGGGGAAUAUUAAAAUGUGAUUUCCAAAAGACUGAAUUGGUACAAGAGCAGAUGCUAAACUCACAAAAAAUAAUGCCAUAGGAUUUUUUUAAGAAAAUCUUUAUAUGUGUCUGUCUAUCUAUAUCCAUCAUCUGAGCUCCCACUCUUCUUCCUCUACCCCUGAAGGCCCCCCUUGAACUCUCUGCUUUUUAGUCCUAACCA
rnacentral:lncRNA from 1 species